rnacentral:rRNA from 1 species
GAUGAACGCUAGCGACAGGCUUAACACAUGCAAGUCGAGGGGCAGCGAGGGCGUAGCAAUACGCCUGUCGGCGACCGGCGCACUGGUGAGUAACACGUAUGCGACCUGCCCCCUACAGGGGGUAUAACCCGUAGAAAUGCGGACUAAUCCCCCCAUAGUCCUGGAGGCUGCAUGGCUUUCAGGGGAAAGGCCAGCCGGUAGGGGAUGGGCAUGCGGCGCAUUAGCUAGUUGGCGGGGCAACGGCCCACCAAGGCGACGAUGCGUAGGGGUUCUGAGAGGAAGGUCCCCCACACUGGUACUGAGACACGGACCAGACUCCUACGGGAGGCAGCAGUGAGGAAUAUUGGUCAAUGGGCGCAGGCCUGAACCAGCCAAGUCGCGUGAGGGAAGACGGUCCUACGGAUUGUAAACCUCUUUUGUCGGGGAGUAACGUGCGGGACGCGUCCCGUAUUGAGAGUACCCGAAGAAAAAGCAUCGGCUAACUCCGUG